rnacentral:rRNA from 1 species
GUGGGGAAUUUUGGACAAUGGGGGCAACCCUGAUCCAGCCAUGCCGCGUGCGGGAAGAAGGCCUUCGGGUUGUAAACCGCUUUUAGUCGGGAAGAAAAGGCACGUCCUAAUACGAUGUGUUCUUGACGGUACCGGCGGAAUAAGCACCGGCUAACUACGUGCCAGCAGCCGCGGUAAUACGUAGGGUGCGAGCGUUAAUCGGAAUUACUGGGCGUAAAGCGUGCGCAGGCGGUUCGUUAAGUCUGAUGUGAAAGCCCCGGGCUCAACCUGGGAAUGGCAUUGGAAACUGGCGAGCUGGAGUGCGGCAGAGGGGGGUGGAAUUCCGCGUGUAGCAGUGAAAUGCGUAGAGAUGCGGAGGAACACCGAUGGCGAAGGCAGCCCCCUGGGCCGACACUGACGCUCAGGCACGAAAGCGUGGGGAGCAAACAGGAUUAGAAACCCCUGUAGUCC